GGCUGUGUAGUGUAGUGGUUAUCACUGAGGAUUCUGAUGAAUCAAAUUUCCUUCAACCCUGGUUCGAAUCCAGGCACGGUCA
rnacentral:tRNA from 1 species